AGUGUGUCACUUAUCGAGGACUCACUGCACUGCACUGCACUGCACUGCCACAGGGGGGGCUCUGGUGGCUCUUGAAUCGAGAUAUUAAUUUCGAUAGGCGCCGGAGAGACCCGUCCCGUUUCGAUAUCGAUAUAUCCCAUGGUAUCAGGUUGUAUCUGAUGAUGUAAACAAAUUUUGGUUACUUUGGACCCGCAGUACUCUAAAAAAUAAACAAUAAUAUUACGCUGA